UAGCAUGCGAGUCGAGAGGGUUCGGCCCUCGGCAGACUGCUCAGUAACACGUGGAGAACUUGCCCUAGGCUGGUGAAUAACGUCGGGAAACUGACGACAAUGCGCCAUAGCCCAUCCUUCCUGGAACGGUGGAUGGGUGAAAGCUCCGGCGGCCUAGGAUAGCUCUGCGGCCUAUCAGGUCGUAGCGAGGGUAACGUCCUCGCUAGCCUACGACGGGUAUGGGUGUUGGGAGACAUCGCCCAGAGAUGGAUUCUGAGACACGAAUCCAGGUCCUACGGGACGCAGCAGGCGCGAAAACUGCACAAUGUGGGAAACCACGAUGCGGGAAACCCAAGUGCCAGCGCUAUGCGUUGGCUGUCCUCGAGUGUUCGUAACUCGGGAAGAAAGUGCUGGGUAAGACGGGUGCCAGCCGCCGCGGUAAUACCCGCAGCACAAGUGGUGGUCAUUAUUAUUGGGCCUAAACCUCCGUAGCGGCUUGUUAGAUGCCUGGGUAAAUCGAUGC
rnacentral:rRNA from 1 species